ensembl:lincRNA
UGUUAAUCGUGGGGCUGCUGUUCAGGCCCUGAGUGGAGGACAGGGUGGUGGUGGGGACCAAGCAGGAGGGACAGAGGCUGCCUCUGCGGACAGGGAGGAGGAAGAAGACCAUGACAGAAGUGUUGGAUCACGGCGUUCCACGGGCAGCAGCUCACUCUCACUGCAGAAACAGUCCCUAAGGGACCAGCCUGGAUGCCGAGCCCUGGCCCGGAGCUCUGACGGGCAUGGAAGGAGGAUAAAAUGAGCAACAGCACAGGACUCCUGAUGGAGACCGCAGACGGGGACAAUGUGAGUCCACCCUCAUCAGCUGAGGGCCACCGUGAACCACAUUUGGUGGGGAAACAGAAAAGGAAGCGGGGCUGAACCCCUCGACUCAGGAGCUCCACGGCCCUGGAGAGGAGACCCAGGGUGCAGCAGAGGAGCCCCUAGGUCACAGGUGACACAGCCCUCACGGAGUCGCGGGAGACGAAGCCGUGGAGAGCAAAGCUCGGAGAUGGGGAGGCUGGGAGCUGUCAGAUGGUGAGCACGAGUGUCGAGUGCACCGUGACUUUACAGGACCUGCUGACCUGAGGAAAGGAACAGCCCUGACAUUUGUUAAAUACAUGCUGUGUGGAAGACAGAACCUUCCCAUUUUUCUUACUCAACACUCACAAUAACCCUAGGAAGUGGAUGUGAGGAGCCCAUUAACAGAGAGGUAAGCAGAGUCACGGAGGUCAUCAAGGUGGUCAUUGCACUGGUGUC